rnacentral:rRNA from 1 species
AAACUAACAAGGAUUCCCCUAGUAACGGCGAGUGAACAGGGAAGAGCUCAAAUUUGUAAUCUGGCGUCCCUUGGGCGUCCGAGUUGUAAUCUAUAGAAGCGUUUUCCGUGCUGGACCAUGUCCAAGUCCCUUGGAACAGGGUAUCAAAGAGGGUGACAAUCCCGUGCUUGACAUGACGACCAGUGCUCUGUGAUACGCUCUCUACGAGUCGAGUUGUUUGGGAAUGCAGCUCAAAAUGGGUGGUGAGUUCCAUCUAAAGCUAAAUAUUGGCGAGAGACCGAUAGCGAACAAGUACCGUGAGGGAAAGAUGAAAAGCACUUUGGAAAGAGAGUUAAACAGUACGUGAAAUUGUUGAAAGGGAAACGAUUGAAGUCAGUCGUGUCCGAGGGGUUCAGCCGGUCAUGCCGGUGUAUUCCCCUCGGAUGGGUCAACGUCAGUUUGGACCGGUGGAAAAGGGCGGUUGGAAUGUGGCAGCUCCGGCUGUGUUAUAGCCUUCCGUCGCACACGCCGGUCUAGACUGAGGAAUGCAGCUCGCCUUUAUGGCUGGGGUCCUCCCACAUUCGAGCUUAGGAUGUUGACAUAAUGGCUUUAAACGAC